rnacentral:rRNA from 1 species
CCUAGCCCUUCAGAGGGGGACAACAGUUGGAAACGACUGCUAAUACCGCAUACGAUCUAAUCUCGGCAUCGAGGAAAGAUGAAAGGUGGCCUCUAUUUAUAAGCUAUCACUGAAGGAGGGGAUUGCGUCUGAUUAGCUAGUUGGAGGGGUAACGGCCCACCAAGGCGAUGAUCAGUAGCCGGUCUGAGAGGAUGAACGGCCACAUUGGGACUGAGACACGGCCCAG